UUUUUUUAAGGAAAAAUGAAGGGUAAAUUUUGGGGUAUUACAACUGCCCCUAUUCAAUCAACUGGAGACCCGGAAGGAAGAUGACAACUGCUUUCGUGCUUUCGAGGUAUCAAGGGAUUGAAUACAAUAAAAGCCCAAAAAUUUGCACUGAAGUGAAGUGAAGUAACAAUGGCUGUCAGAAUCGGCAAAGAGGUGGUCUUGAAAGAAG
rnacentral:lncRNA from 1 species